UAUCAUCCCCCCAAAGUACGUGAACUACACGACCAUUAUCUAUAGAGAGAACGGGCUCUGAGAGGAUAAAAGGAGUGACAUACUUACAAUUUUUUAAAAUUAAAACUAGGACUCAUCCUCUUCUGUGGGAAAUAUUAUUAGUGAUAUACAAACUAUCAUUUAAACAUUUUUUUAUUAUUUCUUUAGUUAUUUUAUACUUUAUAUGUACUAUGUAGUUUAAGAUGCAUGCAAAUAAAAAAUAGUCGAUUUAUUAAAGAUAAAAAACGUAAAAACGUCUUAGAUUUUGCCAAACUCAUUUUUAAAGAGCCCCCCAUUAAAGUUUAUUGUUUUCCUCUGCCUGCAACCUUAUGAAAGAAGCAAGUCCUGUUUUUCAAUCAAAAAUUAACAAAUCUUUCAAAAUAGACGUUAUAAAAAACUUUAAAAGUGAUCUUCACUUAAACAAUUCUGAAUUUUACUCUAAACAUGUUUUAUUUUUUUAUAACAUUUUUCCCCUUAGAAAUUAUGAUGAAAACAUGUUAUAUUAUCCCCUGCAUCUAGACGGCGCCGGUAUUAUCUUUCCUUCCAUUAACAUUAUCCAGAGAUUAGGUUCAGAUUGACACUUCUUCUCAGAUCAUGCAAAAGAAUUGCUUCAGGUUCCCAAAGAGGUUGGAGAGUCAAGUUCUAGAUCCUUCCAGAUCCAUCCGGUUCCUAACUGGAGCAAAGAGCAACGGGUGUGAUUGGACUGGGUCUCCCAUGGCAAUAAAGGCUUCCUUACAGAGGGCCGACCGCUGUGGCUAGAACGAGUUAGGGGAGGAGAAUAUAGAAAAAUCGUUUAUUGUAAUUAUGAUUUAAAAAUAAAUACUUCACAAUUCAACUUA